ensembl:lncRNA
CUGAAGUAUUGCACUGCGUGUUUUCCUCAGCCACAACUGAGAACAGCUGAGUGCACUGCAAACGAUGGCAGCAGAGUGGCAGUCUGACAGAAUGGCAUCUGACAUGGAAGUGCGUAUGAAGCAAAGAUGUCUCAUGGAAUUCCUGCAGACAGAAAAAAAUGGCACCCGUUGACAUUCAUUGAUGCUUGUUGAACGUUUAUGGAGCCAAGCAGUGAAUGCGAGCACGUUAUGUCUCUAACAGAAGAGGACAUCCCUGACAGAGACUGUCAAAAGACUUGCUCUGUAAGUCUCGGUGCUGCUCUGUAAGUCUCGGCUUCUUCCCUCUGCCAAGAGAAGAUUCAUUUGUAGCAGAUCCCAGUGAAGGAGUGAAGCUGUGGAGAAUAACGCAGAGAUGCCCUCUGUCUCAUUUCUGGUUUCGAGUUGUUUUUGCAUUUUUGUCUGAGAGGGGAUAAACUGCUAUCCCUUGCAAUUUAAUACCACUUUCUGUUACUUCUGAGCUGUGCACGCUAUCUAAAUCUGAGAGGCUUACCCUAUCAUCGUGGCUUUUUAUUUCCCAAACUUUUCUUCCAGGAUUUAAUUAAAUUAUUCUUCUUUUCCCCUCCAUGGAUCUUAGUGCUGCAGUGCUAACCUUCUGGCAAGGUUCACCUCUCUAAUAUGCUGACAGCUAACGGUGUUCUUUCGAGUCACUGUGGUCAGUGGGUCAGCUAUGGCACUUUGGUCUGGCUUCUGUCUGGAAACUCAUACAAAUCUGACAAUCUCUCCUCUGCUGAAAUACCAACUUUAUACAAUUUGCUGUGUUACUGAAUUCCUUAAAACAUUUUAGGUGCUAGGUCCUGAUUUGAAAUGUUGCAAGUGAUAAUAACAGCUUUGUGUAAUAGCUAGAUUUAUCAGCAGGUGUUAGCGUUGGAGAUCAGUCCUAGGGGCACACCUUCUCGUCUGGUUUCUGUCCGUGUUUCUACUCUUCUUGAACUCUGCUAUCAUUUGACCAUAAAUAAACAAAUAGUUUCUAC